rnacentral:rRNA from 1 species
GACGAACGCUGGCGGCGUGCUUAACACAUGCAAGUCGAACGGAAAGGGCCUGCUUUUGUGGGGUGCUCGAGUGGCGAACGGGUGAGUAACCCGUGAGUCACCUGCCCUUGACUGUGGGAUAACUUCAGAAAACUGGGGCUAAUACCGGCUAGCAGCUCCUGCUGCAUGGUGGGGGUUGGAAAGUUUCGGCGGUGGUGGAUGGACUCGGGGCUUAUCAGCUUGUUGGUGGGGUAGUGGCUUACCAAGGCUUUGACGGGUAGCCGGCCUGGGAGGGUGAACGGGGACAUUGGGACUGAGAUACGGCCCAGACGCCUACGGGAGGCAGCAGGGGGAAAUAUUGCACAAUGGGCGGAAGCCUGAUGCAGCAAUGCCGCGUGCGGGAUGACGGCCUUGGGGUUGUAAACCGCUUUCGCCUGUGACGAAGCGUGAGUGACGGUAAUGGGUAAAGAAGCACCGGCUAACUACGUG